rnacentral:rRNA from 1 species
ACUUUGCCGGAUUAGCUGAGAGGUGGUGCAUGGCCGUCGUCAGUUCGUACUGUGAAGCAUCCUGUUAAGUCAGGCAACGAGCGAGACCCACGCCCACAGUUGCCAGCGUACUCUCUGGAGUGACGGGUACGACUGUGGGGACCGCCGCUGCUAAAGCGGAGGAAGGAAUGGGCAACGGUAGGUCAGUAUGCCCCGAAUAUCCCGGGCUACACGCGAGCUACAAUGGUUGGUACAAUGGGUAUCUACCCCGAAAGGGGACGGGAAUCUCCUAAAACCAAUCUUAGUUCGGAUUGAGGGCUGCAACUCGCCCUCAUGAAGCUGGAAUCCGUAGUAAUCGCGUUUCAACAGAACGCGGUGAAUACGUCCCUGCUCCUU